rnacentral:rRNA from 1 species
GAUGAACGCUGGCGGUGUGCCUAAUACAUGCAAGUCGAGCGAACGGACGAGAAGCUUGCUUCUCUGAUGUUAGCGGCGGACGGGUGAGUAACACGUGGAUAACCUACCUAUAAGACUGGGAUAACUUCGGGAAACCGGAGCUAAUACCGGAUAAUAUUUUGAACCGCAUGGUUCAAAAGUGAAAGACGGUCUUGCUGUCACUUAUAGAUGGAUCCGCGCUGCAUUAGCUAGUUGGUAAGGUAACGGCUUACCAAGGCAACGAUGCAUAGCCGACCUGAGAGGGUGAUCGGCCACACUGGAACUGAGACACGGUCCAGACUCCUACGGGAGGCAGCAGUAGGGAAUCUUCCGCAAUGGGCGAAAGCCUGACGGAGCAACGCCGCGUGAGUGAUGAAGGUCUUCGGAUCGUAAAACUCUGUUAUUAGGGAAGAACAUAUGUGUAAGUAACUGUGCACAUCUUGACGGUACCUAAUCAGAAAGCCACGGCUAACUACGUGCCAGCAGCCGCGGUAAUACGUAGGUGGCAAGCGUUAUCCGGAAUUAUUGGGCGUAAAGCGCGCGUAGGCGGUUUUUUAAGUCUGAUGUGAAAGCCCACGGCUCACCCGUGGAGGGUCAUUGGAAACUGGAAAACUUGAGUGCAGAAGAGGAAAGUGGAAUUCCAUGUGUAGCGGUGAAAUGCGCAGAGAUAUGGAGGAACACCAGUGGCGAAGGCGACUUUCUGGUCUGUAACUGACGCUGAUGUGCGAAAGCGUGGGGAUCAAACAGGAUUAGAUACCCUGGUAGUCCACGCCGUAAACGAUGAGUGCUAAGUGUUAGGGGGUUUCCGCCCCUUAGUGCUGCAGCUAACGCAUUAAGCACUCCGCCUGGGGAGUACGACCGCAAGGUUGAAACUCAAAGGAAUUGACGGGGACCCGCACAAGCGGUGGAGCAUGUGGUUUAAUUCGAAGCAACGCGAAGAACCUUACCAAAUCUUGACAUCCUUUGACAACUCUAGAGAUAGAGCUUUCCCCUUCGGGGGACAAAGUGACAGGUGGUGCAUGGUUGUCGUCAGCUCGUGUCGUGAGAUGUUGGGUUAAGUCCCGCAACGAGCGCAACCCUUAAGCUUAGUUGCCAUCAUUAAGUUGGGCACUCUAAGUUGACUGCCGGUGACAAACCGGAGGAAGGUGGGGAUGACGUCAAAUCAUCAUGCCCCUUAUGAUUUGGGCUACACACGUGCUACAAUGGACAAUACAAAGGGCAGCGAAACCGCGAGGUCAAGCAAAUCCCAUAAAGUUGUUCUCAGUUCGGAUUGUAGUCUGCAACUCGACUACAUGAAGCUGGAAUCGCUAGUAAUCGUAGAUCAGCAUGCUACGGUGAAUACGUUCCCGGGUCU